rnacentral:misc_RNA from 1 species
GGUACCGAUUGUUGGUACUAAAUUAAUCAUCCUACCCUUUGUGAAUUGUUUGUAACGAAUUUUUUAAAUGGGUCUUUCCCUAAGUUGGGUUGUAGUAAAAUACAAAAAAGACUUAGGGAAUGACUUUUUUAAAAGACUUUUUUUAAAUUAAAACUUUUUUGUAUUCAUUUGUCUAAAAUUUAUUUUUAUAAUAUAAAAACAACUUUUGACAAUGGAUCUCUUGGUUCUCGCAACGAUGAAGAACGCAGCAAAAUGCGAUAAGUAGUGUGAAUUGCAGAAUACGUGAAUCAUCGAAUCUUCGAACGCAUACUGCACUUUUUUAGUUUACUAAAAAAGUUGUCUGUUUGAGUAUCAGUAAAAUAUUCUCACAAACAUAUAUUGUUUGUGGUUAUGAGUGUUUUACAACGAUAAACAAGUUGUUUCACUUUAAAUUCUUUUUGUAAGAUUUUACUACCAAUUACAAAUUAAAAUUGGAUAAAAUUUUCCUUUAACGAGGAAUAACCUAAACAAUUUUAAAUUUUUUGGUUUGUAAAAUCAAAAGGAAUCUAUACAUAAAUAACUUGAUCUCAAAUCAGAUAGGAGUACCCGCUGAACUUAAGCAUAUCAAUAAGCGGAGGAAAAGAAACUAACAAGGAUUCCCUUAGUAACGGCGAGUGAAGCGGGAAGAGCUCAAAUUUGAAAUCUUCAAGGUUUGACCUUGACGAAUUGUAGUUAUAGAAGUGUUUCUGUUGGAGUUUUGGUAAAAGUUCUUUGGAAUAGGACAUCAUAGAGGGUGAGAAUCCCGUAUUUGACCAUGACUUUCCAGCUGUGUGAUACACUUUCAAAGAGUCGGAUUGUUUGGGAAUGCAGUCCAAAAUGGGUGGUAAAUUUCAUCUAAAGCUAAAUAUUGGCGAGAGACCGAUAGCGAACAAGUACCGUGAGGGAAAGAUGAAAAGAACUUUGAAAAGAGAGUUAAACAGUACGUGAAAUUGUCAAAAGGGAAGCGUUUGACACCAGUGUUGUUUUCUCGAAAAUCAAUUUAAUGAGUUCUUGUUUUUAAGUUAUUGUGACUAUAUCAGCGCAUUUCUUAUUUUACUUGACUCAUUGAAUGCACUUUUCGUUUAACAAGUCAACAUCAAUUUCUUUGGUGGUAAAAAGUUUAAAGGAAGGUGGCUUGGACUUCGGUUCAAGUGUUUAUAGCCUUUUUUCUAUGCCAUCGGAGAGAUUGAGGUCUGCAGCGUAGAUCCUUCGGGGUUAGAUACCUUUGUGCUAAGUUAUAGUUUUUUAUAGACAACUUGUUGACUAUAAUUAACCCUGUAAUUACUCGCUUAGGCUAUUUUACCUACGCUUAGGAUGUUGAGU